AUGCUUCUUAGAGAAGAGUACUUACGAGCAGGCAGAGAAGUCCUGGCUCUGCAACUGAUGCUGCUGAAAAUCCAGAGGAAGACAGCUGCCCUGCAGCCAGCACAGGCAAAUACAACCAUCUUUCACUUCCUGUCUCCCUGUGCUCCAAACGCCAGACGUAGAAGACCUGCUUUUCUCAGCUUUAGCUCCUUCUCUCUUUUUGCUUCUUUUUCUCGGAGGAGGUGGCGACAGGAGGAAACGCGGCCACCAGCAGCAGCAGCCUCCACCCACCAGCCCGAAAACAGAUCAGAAGGGAAAAUCCUCUCCCUAGCGCUGCCCUCCCCUUUUUUUCUGCUUCCUUCAGCUCCUCCCUCUUCCUCUGCGCCUCUCCGGCCUCCAGGAUCCUCCUCGCCUUCCGCUGGUGCUUCAGAGCCGGAACGCGGGAACCGCUUGUGCCCUGGUGACUCUGUCCGCAGUGCUGAAAGAGGCGGCCCCGACUCGGCCCCGGGGCGCAGUAACACCCCCGCGACCGGCUACUGGAUACCUUCCUCGCCGCCGCUUUCCCACGCACCGAGAUGGUGGCGGCUCCCUAAGCACCAGUCUAAGGGAUCUGAGCCAGGUGGGAGCAGGCAAGUUCUCCAAGCAGUCCUAGUUCUGGAGGCUGAACACGAUCCUGGCUGCAGAGAGCUGGGGUGCAGAGGCUCUGAUGCAGAUGUGUUCAUUUCAUAAUUAAUUCUCACUCUGAGAACAAGCCAGGAAGCAAGCUACAUUAAAUUGUGACCAUGGUUUUCACCUACAAGGCAUAACUGAGCCAACCUGGCCAUAUCCUAGCCUGAUGGUUUAGGGGUUUUACUAGACUGACUUCUUUUUUCCAUCCCUACACAUCCCUCCCACCAUCGUCUUUAAACAGACUGAACAAUUACUUACCUGGUGUUAUAUAGAGAAAGCUGAGAAACUGAGAAGCAUAAUUUCUUUACAGGUACCCCAAAGCAAACAUAAAUUAUUUUCAGUUAAUAAUACACGCACUGUUAACAAGUAUCUGCUGAUAUUUAGUGAGCAUGAUGAAGUGGCUAAGACUGUUUAUAAGAUGAGAUUUUCAGAAAUGCCUUGGGAUAUCAGGACACUCAAACCCAUAGACUUUCAGAGGGAGUACAUUGCCUACCUUUAGGUCACUUUGAAAAAUCAGCUACACAUGAUACGUGACACCUCAGGGGAGCUGUGGCCUAGAGAUUUAAAGUACAAGGCAUAGCUUAAGUGCCUGUUCAGGAGGGAACUGUCCCUGUAAUCUUGUCCAAAUGCUGUAACAUCUCCUUGAAUCUUCCCUUCCCUUAUCCACAUCAAUAUGGAGUUUUAAUACAUUCAUAUUUUAAGUGCUUUCUGAGAAGUAAUGUCAAUAUGUCUGUAGCAAAUAUGGAAUGAGAAAGUGCACUAUGAAUGCUAAGUGUCCUUAUAUUUAGCUCCGUUUUUGAAAGAAUAAAUAUUCUCCUAAAGAUUUAUCUCUUUUCUCC
rnacentral:lncRNA from 1 species